UUUUGUAGUCCGGAUAACUGCAGAUUAAAAUAUACAAAAUUCAUAUUCAGUUUCUAGUGGCACAAAUAUCAGCCCAUACGGUCCCUUCUUGCGGCGCACACUGACUUCAAAAGUAGUGGUUACGUCAGGGGAUGCGAUCCGAAACGCUUCAGCAAUGGAAUCCAGAAAAUGCUUCAGUUAGAAAUACGAAGGCAUAUACAGAUGUCAGGACUGCCCUCAAGAUAAAACUACAAGGCAUUAGGUGCGAAUGGGAGAUCACAGAGAAUGUUGAGACACCAGCCAUCAGAACUUGCCGUCAAAUUAGUUAGACUGAGUGAAGACUAUCGAGGGGAAGCCGUUGUACGUGAUGCCCCAGUGGUCACCAUCGCUCUACCUGAGGACGUCACCUCACAGUUUUUCCACCUUAUGUAGUUACCAGCAACACGGUCAAUUUUCGAAAGCCAGGAAACUGACUGCUCAAAGCUCAAAACCCUCCGCUCGCUCGAAACUAAAAAGCCUUCGUUUUUUGUUUUUUUUUCCUAACCGGGUGAAGCUUGUUAUUCACUUUUUCAAAACCUCUCCACCCUACGUGGAAAGUGCUGUGAUGGCUGCCAGCAGGAAAACUCAGAUGUGUUACGUACAUUUUCUCCAUUUUAUUAAAACCCUUCUGUCAAGCUUCAGUCUGAGUUUCCAAUGUAUACAAAGUCAAGCAAUUAAA